GAACGAACGCUGGCGGCAGGCCUAACACAUGCAAGUCGAGCGAGGACUUCGGUUCUAGCGGCGGACGGGUGAGUAACGCGUGGGAAUGUGCCCUUCUCUACGGAAUAGCCCUGGGAAACUGGGAGUAAUACCGUAUACGCCCUAUUGGGGAAAGAUUUAUCGGAGAAGGAUCAGCCCGCGUUGGAUUAGGUAGUUGGUGGGGUAAUGGCCUACCAAGCCGACGAUCCAUAGCUGGUUUGAGAGGAUGAUCAGCCACACUGGGACUGAGACACGGCCCAGACUCCUACGGGAGGCAGCAGUGGGGAAUCUUAGACAAUGGGGGCAACCCUGAUCUAGCCAUGCCGCGUGAGUGAUGAAGGCCUUAGGGUUGUAAAGCUCUUUCAGCUGGGAAGAUAAUGACGGUACCAGCAGAAGAAGCCCCGGCUAACUCCGUG
rnacentral:rRNA from 1 species